UACGUAGGGUGCAAGCGUUGUCCGGAAUUAUUGGGCGUAAAGAGCUCGUAGGCGGUCUGUCGCGUCUGCUGUGAAAACUCGGGGCUUAACCCCGGGCCUGCAGUGGGUACGGGCAGACUAGAGUGCGGUAGGGGAGACUGGAAUUCCUGGUGUAGCGGUGAAAUGCGCAGAUAUCAGGAGGAACACCUGAGGCGAAGGCGGUUCUCUGGGCAUUACCUGACGCUGAGACACGAAAGCGUGGGGAGCAAACAGG
rnacentral:rRNA from 1 species